GUGGUGGCUCAGUGGCAGAGCGCUUGCCUAGCACACGUGAGGCACUGGGUUCAAUCCUCAGCACCACA
rnacentral:tRNA from 1 species